UACGGGAGGCAGCAGUGGGGAAUAUUGCACAAUGGGCGCAAGCCUGAUGCAGCGACGCCGCGUGAGGGAUGAAGGCCUUCGGGUUGUAAACCUCUUUCAGUAGGGAAGAAGCUGGUCCUUUGGGGUUGGUGACGGUACCUGCAGAAGAAGCGCCGGCUAACUACGUGCCAGCAGCCGCGGUAAUACGUAGGGCGCAAGCGUUAUCCGGAAUUAUUGGGCGUAAAGAGCUCGUAGGCGGUUUGUCGCGUCUGCCGUGAAAGUCCGGGGCUUAACUUCGGAUCUGCGGUGGGUACCGGGCAGACUAGAAGUGCAGUGGGGGAGACUGGAAUUUCCUGGUGUAGCGGUUGAAAUGCGCAGAUAUCAGGAGGAACACCCGAUGGCGAAGGCAAGUCUUCUGGGCU
rnacentral:rRNA from 1 species